rnacentral:rRNA from 1 species
CAAGCGGUGGAUGAUGUGGUUUAAUUCGAUGCAACGCGAAAAACCUUACCUACCCUUGACAUGUCUAGAAUUUUGCAGAGAUGUGAAAGUGCUCGAAAGAGAACUAGAACACAGGUGCUGCAUGGCCGUCGUCAGCUCGUGUCGUGAGAUGUUGGGUUAAGUCCCGCAACGAGCGCAACCCUUGUCAUUAGUUGCUACGAAAGGGCACUCUAAUGAGACUGCCGGUGACAAACCGGAGGAAGGUGGGGAUGACGUCAGGUCCUCAUGGCCCUUAUGGGUAGGGCUACACACGUCAUACAAUGGCCGGUACAGAGGGCUGCCAACCCGCGAGGGGGAGCCAAUCCCAGAAAACCGGUCGUAGUCCGGAUCGCAGUCUGCAACUCGACUGCGUGAAGUCGGAAUCGCUAGUAAUCGCGGAUCAGCUUGCCGCGGUGAAUACGUUCCCGGGUCUUGUACACACC